AUUCCAUCUCUGUUAAGUACAAAGUUCAAGAUUACGUACGAUCACUUAAAAUUGCUGUGAACCGAAUGACUGAUAUGUCAAAUUCCUGUAAAAUGACCAUUGCCGUGUUAGAGUUGUACUUUACAUGACUUGUGACACCUCUAAUGUCAUUAUAUUUACAUUAGUUCACCUGGCCUUAAAAUGUCAUCUACUGACCCCGAGC
rnacentral:lncRNA from 1 species